AGCGAACGCUGGCGGCAGGCUUAACACAUGCAAGUCGAGCGGGCAUCCUUGUGGUGUCAGCGGCAGACGGGUGAGUAACGCGUGGGAACGUGCCCUUCGGUUCGGAAUAACUCAGGGAAACUUGAGCUAAUACCGGAUACGUGCGAGAGCAGAAAGGUUUAUCUGCCGAAGGAUCGGCCCGCGUCUGAUUAGCUAGUUGGUGAGGUUAUGGCUCACCAAGGCGACGAUCAGUAGCUGGUCUGAGAGGAUGAUCAGCCACACUGGGACUGAGACACGGCCCAGACUCCUACGGGAGGCGGCAGUGGGGAAUAUGGGACAAUGGGGGCAACCCUGAUCCAGCCAUGCCGCGUGAGUGAUGACGGCGUUAGGGUUGUAAAGCUCUUUUCUCCGGGACGAUAAUGACGGGACCGGAGGAAUAAGCCGCGGCGACCUGCGU
rnacentral:rRNA from 1 species